rnacentral:rRNA from 1 species
CCUACGGGAGGCAGCAGUGAGGAAUAUUGGUCAAUGGGCGCGAGCCUGAACCAGCCAAGUAGCGUGAAGGAUGACUGCCCUACGGGUUGUAAACUUCUUUUAUAAAGGAAUAAAGUGAGGCACGUGUGCCUUUUUGUAUGUACUUUAUGAAUAAGGAUCGGCUAACUCCGUGCCAGCAGCCGCGGUAAUACGGAGGAUCCGAGCGUUAUCCGGAUUUAUUGGGUUUAAAGGGAGCGUAGAUGGGUUGUUAAGUCAGUUGUGACAGUUUGCGGCUCAACCGUAAAAUUGCAAUUGAUACUGGCAGUCUUGCGUACAGUUGCGGUAGGCGGACUUCGUGGUGUGGCGGUGAACUUCUUCGAUCUCACGA